UACAGAGGUCUCGAGCGUUAGGCGGAAUCACUGGGCUUAAAGCGUGUGUAGGCGGAUCGUUAAGUACCUUGUGAAAUCCCACGGCUCAACCGUGGAACUGCUCGGUAUACUGGCGGUCUUGAGCCACCUAGGGGCAACUGGAACAAGCGGUGGAGCGGUGAAAUGCGUAGAUAUCGUAAGGAAGACCAGUGGCGAAGGCGAGUCUCUGGACAGUUACUGACGCUGAGGCACGAAGGCCAGGGGAGCAAACGGG
rnacentral:rRNA from 1 species